rnacentral:rRNA from 1 species
AUGAGCAAGGCCCUUUGUCCCAAGUUCCUAGGCUUGUCCACCUAUGAGAAAGAGUACUCGCUUGUCAUUAUCACCGUGGACCAGUGGCGCCCUUACCUGCAACACAGCGAGUUUUGUCUUCAAACAGAUCAAUGGAGUUUGGUGCACUUGGAGGAACAAAGACUCACCACACCGUGGCAACAGAAGGCGUUCACCAAAUUAUUGGGGCUGUGGUACACAAUUUGUUACAAGAAAGACUCGAAAAAUGGCACGGCUGACGCCCUCUCGUGUGCCACACAUUCAGAACAGAUUGCGGCUAUCUCGCUGUGCAAACCUGCCUGGCUUGAGGACAUUGUCUCAAGCUAUAAUGUCAAUCCACAUGAGCAGUGCCUGCUGGAACAACUGGCCAUAAAACCUGACAGUAAGGGGUGGCUCACUCUCGAGAAAGGCAUUCGUCGCUUUCGAGGCUGCAUCUGGUUGGGUGGUUCCACAGUGUUGAGUAUCAUGAUUAUUUAG